GAUGAACGCUGGCGGCGUGCCUAAUACAUGCAAGUCGAGCGAACGGACGAGAAGCUUGCUUCUCUGAUGUUAGCGGCGGACGGGUGAGUAACACGUGGAUAACCUACCUAUAAGACUGGGAUAACUUCGGGAAACCGGAGCUAAUACCGGAUAAUAUUUUGAACCGCAUGGUUCAGAAGUGAAAGACGGUCUUGCUGUCACUUAUAGAUGGAUCCGCGCUGCAUUAGCUAGUUGGUAAGGUAACGGCUUACCAAGGCAACGAUGCAUAGCCGACCUGAGAAGGUGAUCGGCCACACUGGAACUGAGACACGGUCCAGACUCCUACGGGAGGCAGCAGUAGGGAAUCUUCCGCAAUGGGCGAAAGCCUGACGGAGCAACGCCGCGUGAGUGAUGAAGGUCUUCGGAUCGUAAAACUCUGUUAUUAGGGAAGAACAUAUGUGUAAGUAACUGUGCACAUCUUGACGGUACCUAAUCAGAAAGCCACGGCUAACUACGUG
rnacentral:rRNA from 1 species